AUAUUUGAUGAUAUCUUUUCAUGUGACGACACUGAAGAAAUGACACUGUGCUACAAUGUAAAGUAGUGAGUGUACAGCUUGUGUAACAGUGUAAAUUUGCCGUCCCCUCAAAAUAACUCAACACACAGAUAUUAAUGUCUAAACCGCUGGCAACAAAAGUGAGUACACCCCUAAGUGAAAAUGUCCAAAUUGGGCCCAAUUAGCCAUUAUCCUUCCACGGUGUCAUGUGACUUGUUAGUGUUACGAGGCCUCAGGUGUGAAUGGGGAGCAGGUGUGUUAAAUUUGGUGUCAUCGCUCUCACACUCCCUCAUACUGGUCACUGGAAGUUCAACAUGGCACCUCAUGGCAAAGAACUGUCUGAGGAUCUGAAAAAAAGAGUUGUUGCUCUACAUAAAGAUGGCGUAGGCUAUAAGAAGAUUGCCAAGAGCCUGACACUGAGCUGUAGCACGGUGGCCGAGACCAUACAGCGGUUUAACAGGACAGGUUCCACUCAGAACAGGCCUCGCCAUGGUCGACCAAAGAAGUUGAGUGCACGUGCUCAGCGUCAUAUCCAGAGGUUGUGUUUGGGAAAUAGACGUAUGAGUGCUGCCAGCAUUGCUGCAGAUGGUGGUGGGAGUGUCAUGGUCUGCGGCUGCAUGAGAGCUGCCGGCACUGGGGAGCUACAGUUCAUUGAGGGAACCAUGAAUGCCAACAUGUACUGUGACAUACUGAAGCAGAGCAUGACCAGUAUGCAGUAUUCCAGCACGAUAACGACCCCAAACACACCUCCAAGAUGACCACUGCCUUGCUAAAGAAGCUGAGGGUGAAGGUGAUGGACUGGCCAAGCAUGUCUCCCUAUUGAGCAUCUGUGGGGCAUCCUCAAACGGAAGGUGGAGGAGCACAAAGUCUCUAACAUCCACCAGCUCCGUGAUGUCGUCAUGGAGGAGUGGAAGAGGACUCCAGUGGCAACCUGUGAAGCUCUGGUGAACUCCAUGCCCAAGUGGGUUAAGGCAGUGCUGGAAAAUAAUGGUGGCCACGCAAAAUAUUGACACUUUGGGCCCAUUUUGGACAUUUUCACUUAGGGGUGUACUCACUUUUGUUGCCAGCGGUUUAAACAUUAAUGUCUGUGUGUGGAGUUAUUUUGAGGGGACGGCAAAUUUACACUGUUACACAAGCUGUACACUCACUACUUUACAUUGUAGCAAAGUGUCAUUUCUUCAGUGUUGCCACAUGAAAAGAUAUCAUCAAAUAUUUGCAAAAAUGUCAGGGGUGUACUCACUUUUGUGAGAUACUGUAAGUUAAGGUUAUUAAUACAAAAAAUAUAUUGUGGAUGAUCACUAGAGAGCGCUCAAUAACAUCGCUAACUUUUAAUGUUUAUCUGUAAAGAUCUCAGAGUAGCGGCAGUGGAGGUGAGUGACUCUCUGGUUCACAGGAUGCAGACAACAAAAAAAAGAUCCACCGUAUUUAUCCACUAUGCACAGAGCCUUUGGUUUAUUCCUCCAUGUUUAUAUGUUUUAACACUUUCGUCUACGUGUAACACAAACUUGUUGGUGAUUUUCUGGACUGUAAGCCACACCCACAGAAAUUCAGACACAAACAAGCAAUAUACACGCCAUUUUCCUGUAAGGGCAUUUUUAUUUUCCAUAACGUUUGUACCGCUCCAUUAUUAGUGUUGCCAUGGUAAUUAACAAUGAUGACCAUGGAAACCUUGAUGUUCAGUUUGUAAGGAGCUUCUCCACAAAGCUAACAGUCAUGUAGUUUAUCACAUGCAGCGUGAAAUUAGCGUAAAUUCCAGAGUAGCACACUUGCCGUAAAACCCCUUCAAGAUCGUCAAGAGUUCUUUAAGGGUUCUUUAACAACUGAAGAAGUCCCCAUCACACCAUUUUCUCAGGAGCUACUUUCCCGUCCUAGCUAACAAUCACAUGAAGCCAGUGUUAUGUGCUGUUUUGAACCUGAUCGUAAAUAUUGGCACCCAGUUAAGAAGCACAGAUUCAUCAUUCAGGACUCAAAUGCUGUUGGUUAUUAUUACUUCUCUAGCAUAAACAAUAUUAUGA